rnacentral:sRNA from 1 species
CAUAUCUCCAUAGGCGGAACCUCCACAAGUUGGUAGAAAUGCACCGGCUUCCAGAUUCGUUUCAAGUGAGGCAUAUGCGUGGAUCAUUGGUUUUUCAUACCAAAAGUACCGAGUUUGAUUCUCGGUUAGCUUAACAAAAUGUCUUCACUCUACCCAAUUAGAGGCGAUCCUUAGCAGAAAUCAAGACACA